GAGAACCUACUGUGCCAGCAAAGCCUGAGCUCCAUCCCAGGCAGUCCAGAACAGGAACACUCCUACAAAAGCUGCAUUUGCUCCAUCAAGGCUUUGACUUGAGAGAAUUGACUCCACUAGUCAGUCCUUAAAGAGGAGAACAGGAUUAUUCCUGGGCCAGUGUCCAGGCAGAAAACACCAUUUGUGGACCCAGCACCGAAAUUUAGCUGAGUCAGCAUUUUGGGAAGACUGCAAAAUCUUUCAGGUGAACAAGGAGAAAAACAUCCUAAACACCAGCCACAGGAUUUUGUUGUGACCAAGGUCUGUGCCCCCGUGCUCAGACAAGGACCUUCCAACAGCCCAAAGGCAGGAACGCCCUGCAAGUUAAACAGCAAUUUGUAAAAUAUGGAUUGGAAGAGGAGGAAGGCUCAGGUCAUGUUUCAAACAAGUCUCCUGGGGGAAACCAGACACUCAGCACUGGCUCCUGGGCUGCUGGAGAGGAUGGGAAAGUGGGAAACCAUCACUGCUGGAGGAACAUGAUGAAGCCAUGGAUGUUCCAAGCUGCUGGCACCUGCCUGCAUUCCUUGUUCCUGCCCCUGUCCCAUAGGAGAUGGAGCCCAGCCCAGGCUCUGCAUCCUUCAGGAAGUGUCUGAGGUGGCCUGAGCACAUGGAAGUGCCAAGAAUGAAGAGGAAAGGAAAGAAAAAUGUCCCUCCUUGUCUUCCAGAUUGGCCAAACAAAAACUGGGGCAUGGAAAGCCCCACAAUAUCACCAUGAAAGACACAACUCGUGGCCAACCACUCUGCCUGUGUGUCCUGGACACAGGAAAGGUGUGAUAAACCAGAAAGCUAAAACCAUACAAAGUGCAGGAAGUUCAGAGUUGACUCUUUCCCAUAUGGGUGAGAUGGAAUCAGGUAGAUUCAGCAAACCUUGUCUGCCUCAACAUCCCCAGAGACCCAGAGCUGCCACCCCCACAGGCAAUAAAAUGCUGCCUGGAACCAAGAACAAGCAGAAAUUAUCAGUGUCUUUGGUACAUCUCAGCCACCACAGCACUGAAACAAGCAGGUUAA